rnacentral:rRNA from 1 species
UACGAAGGGGGCUAGCGUUGCUCGGAAUGACUAGGGCGUAAAGGGCGCGUAGGCGGAUGGCACAGUCAGAUGUGAAAUUCCCGGGCUUAACCCUGGGGGCUGCAUUUGAUACGUGUGAUCUAGGAGUGAGGAAGAGGGUCGGUGGAAUUCCCAGUGUAGAGGUGAAAUUCGUAGAUAUUGGGAAGAACACCGGUGGCGAAGGCGGCGACCUGGUCCUUGACUGACGCUGAGGCGCGAAAGCGUGGGGAGCAAACAGGAUUAGAAACC